rnacentral:lncRNA from 12 species
UUUACGGACAGUAAGACCAAAGAAGCGGCUAUCCGCAGCGUCCGACAGGCCCAGGCAGAGGACCUGGCUC